AUUGCUUCUUUGCUUUGGGCUAAGAUCAAGUGCAAUAUCUGUUCUUAUCACUUUAAUAUCUGAUAUACCCUCUAUCUGAGGACAAUAUAUUAAAUGGAUAUUUGGAGCUGGGAGAUGGAAGAGGAGCUUGCUCCAUCCCCUCCACAUUGACCUGGUACUGCAGUACCUACAGGAACAGUGUUACCACC
ensembl:snRNA U2 U2 spliceosomal RNA